rnacentral:misc_RNA from 1 species
GGAUGCGCUUGUCAAGGCUGGUAUAAAUUUCACUGCUUUAUUAUUUUUAACUUCGAAAUAUUUUCUUAUAGUUAUAGGGACUGCGUUGAUCAAUCACAUUCACAGUGAAAUUAUGCUGUUAAUUUGUGUAGUGCUUGAUUAUAUAAUGAUUAAUAAGAGGAUAUGAUGAUUCUUUUGAUAUUUCUGAUAGAAAACAAGUAGUUAUUCGGUGGGUACCAGUUGCUUGCAUGCUUAGUUAGAUUGGAAAACUUUAUUUCCGAUAGUUGCGGUUAACUAUAUAUUUGCUAAAUCAGACGUUCAACGUAGAAUUAUAAUUUUUAUAAACAAAGGAUGAAGCUUUAAUUCUCUUAAUAGAUUUGUUUUAGACGGUCUCUUGAAUUCUUCUAUUUAUUUGGAUCCUAUGCUUACAUUCAUGCUUUAAGGUUGGUUGAUAGUAUGCCACAAAAUAGCAGUUUGGACAUUCUUGCUAGCAAUCUGGUUGGCAUGAUCUGAACUGAAUUUUUAGUGCCUGAGCUUUUUUCUUUUGUGUUAGUUUUGGAUUGCAAGGUGGGCAAUGUUCUUUCUGUAUAAGUGAGAAAUUCCAUCUUGUGUCCUGGUUGGGUUUUGGGAGCUGCUUGCGGCUGCCGUUUUUGUAGCAUUGUUCCAUGUGAUGAAAAAUUUUCACUUGCCAUCCCCCAUUAUUAUAGGCCAGAGGUUGAUCGUUGAUCUGUAUUGCUUUCUUAAUGUUUUGUAUCCUGUAGAAGUGUUAUCAUUGGCUUAACGUUUAAAUUACCUUUGCCUAAGUGUAAUUGAUGUGAAAGUCACUCUACUGACAAUUUCCAAAAUUCUUCUCAAAUUGAGUGAAUUUUUUAUUUUCUCUAUCUCAAAUUUCUUCCCUACUUCUUUAUUUGCUUUCUCUCCAUUUCCUAUUUCAUCCCGCUUCUUUGUCUUCAACGCUUAUGUUUUCUUCUUCUAUUUUCUCUUGCAUUCCUCUCCUUUUCCUC